UUUGUGUUGGAAAGGGCCUUAAAGAUCAUGUAGUUCCAUCCUGCCAGCCAUAUACAGAGUCACUAGACCAGGUUGCUCAAAGCCCCAUCUAAUACGGCCUUGAACACUCCGCCCACAACUUCUCUGGGCAACCUGUUCCAGUGGCUCACCACCCUCAUAAUGAAGAAUCUCUUCCUACCAUCUAAUCUAAACCUACUCUCUUUCAGUUUGAAGCCAUUCCGCAUCAUCCUGUAAGAAAUUUCUCUCCAUCUUUCUUGUAAGCUCCCUUCAGAUGCUGGAAGACCACAAUUAAGUAAUUCCAAAGACUUCUCUUUUCCAGGCUGAACAAUCCCAAUUCUCUCAGCCUUUCCCCAUAGAAAAGGUGCUCCACUUCCCUAAUUAUCUUGGUGGCCUCCUCUGGACUUGCUCCAGCAGGGAAAUCCUUCCUGAGCUGGGGCCCCUGGAGCUGGAUGCAGCACAGAAAAGUGGAGUAGAGGGGCAGAAUCUCCUCCCUCACUCUGCUGGCCACGCUUCUUUUGGUGCAGCCUGGGACACAAUUGGCAUUCUGGGAUGCAAUCACACACUUUACUGGCUCACAUCCAGCCCCUCACUCCCCAGCACCCCCAAGUCCUUCUUGGCAGGGCUGCUCUGCAUCUGUUCAUCCCCCAGCCUGUGCUGGUACCAGGGCUUGCCCCAACCCACAUGCAGCACCUUGCACUUGGUCUUAUUGAGCCUCACGAGGUUCCCACAGGCCACUUCUCCAGCUUUUCCAGGUCCCUCUGGAUAGCAUCCCAUCCCUCAUGUGUCUCAACUGCAGUGCUCAGCUUGGUACCAUCUGCAAGUUUGCUGAAGCAGAAGGUUGAGGCAGCCUCAGGCACCUCAAGUGUUGGCCACCAAAUAAUUCGCCAUAAGUACAAGAGCACCACCUUGUGAUCCCUGAAAGCCAGCAUGCCAUCUGGAGGAGGAGGAUGGCAGCAGUGGGCUCCUGCCACCCCCACGACUCCUCUGUCCCUGGGACAGCCACCACCAUGCAAACCUGGAUGUUUUGCUGCUGCAUUGCUUACUGCCUUAGCAAUGUGAAAGAGCACAGAGACAAACGUAGGACAACUUACCACUGAUAUUUGAUCUGGGGGAAGAUGUGGUCCUGCUAACAUUUCCUGGUGUGCAUGUCUGGGAGAAGAACAACUUCUAGUGCAAGCAGUGUUAUACAUCCACCCAAAAGGAUGUGUCAGUAGCAGCAAUAAAUCACCUGGCUGCAACUGCAGCCACCAACCAAAUGCCCAUACAGCACAACAGGAUGCAAGAUUUAUUAAACUGGACUGCUGUACACCAGGCAAAAUCCUGGGCUAUGGCAACAGAUUUAUUUUUCUGGGUGCUAACACUGGUCAGACAGCACAGUCUUGCUCUGCAUAGACGAUCAGCCUUUGUCUUUUGCUCUGUCUUCAAUAGGACCAUUAAAAUGGCCAGCCCUGAGUUACAGUUCCAGCUCUUAAUGAAAAGACUGUGCUUCAGACAAAAAAGAUAGCUUUUCCAAUUUUUAGAAAUCAGCACACACACUCAGAGAUGCCUUUCAUGUUAUCGCUAAAUUUCCAUUGCUGUGGGGAAUUUAAAAAAGUUUAUACAAGCUGAGGAUGCUUGUCUGGCAAAUAAGGUGUAAAGAUCAUACAUAAAAUGCAAAACUACCUAGAUGUUAUCUGAAACAAUAUUCUGGAACAACAAAAAUCUGGCAUCAGAAUCAUGUUUGCAAAAGAAAAGUUGGCAACUUAAGAAGUCCUGAAAUACUGUCCAGAAAUUUUAUUUUUUUUAACAUAUAUCUGUGGUCAAAUCAAUGAAAAGCACUUUGGAAGUGCUGGAUUAAUUCAAGUCCUACUCUGGUAAUUAUGUUAGGAAAGUGAAGGAAUCUAAAAAAUCCAAAACAUCACCUCCUACUCAUUUACACAGAAAAAUUGGAAACCAUUUGAAUCCUUGCCAUAUUAUUGACACAAGAUAUUUUUAUAAAUUCAAAUAAUUCGAUUCCAAAAGCCUUUAGGUGCCUGUGGCAUAGCUCAAGCAGAAUUUAGAUGCCUGCAUUCAAGGGAGUGAGUCACAAAAAUUCUGCCUGUGGCAGGCAUACCUGAAAGGCACCUAAGCUGUCAUCAGUAAAGGUAUUUAGGUACCCAAAGUACUUCUAAUGUGUAUUCCCAGAGGCCUUCUUAUCUUGGAUGAGAUGAGUGUCUCAGCAGAUAUUCUGUUUCACGGUGUGUUUAGGCAUUCUCUAACUAUUUGGUGGGCUGCCUAGAAUCCUUUGUUUAUUAGGGAUGGUUACACAACACCCAGCCCGUGCCAACACCACUGAGCCCAGCACAAAGCAGGGAGUUCAAGUGCCUGCUGCUAUUACAAAGUCAUGCAGAUGAACUCCCCUGUGAAAUGGUGUCCAUAAUUUGCUCUAUGUGUAAGGUGAGGAACAGUUCCAUUGCUGUAGGCAUCUUCUUUUAACACUGUUAUUCAAACAUGAGCAGCAACUGAAGUGGCUGCAGGUUUUCAGAGCUACAAACCCCUCUCACUCAGCUGUCAGAAGCCCUGGAACAGGGAACUUCAGACUCAUGUCUUGCUUCAGUAUUUUCUCUGCACAGCUUCGCUUGGCACCCUGGCUGUUGUACAUCCCACAGAAUGGUGCCUAACUCUUCUCCUCAGCUGUAUAAGAUAACUAAGGUGUAUCACUCAGAACUGCAGAUUUCUGCCUCUGAGGUGGCACUGGAAAGUCAGGUUGGGUGUCAUCAUGCUGGGGUCCCUGUCUAUCUGGGCUUUGGUGAUCUUUCAUCCUAACACAUGUGAAUACAAAUCCAGGUUCCGGCAUCCACUUUUCCAGAAAUGCUAAAUAAAGAAAAGACUGUCCUUAUAUUGCCAUUCAUUCCCAGAGAUAGUUCUGGAGGCCUUAGUAUGUAUACAUAGUACCAGUAUAUAUGACAUUUCAUGACCAAAGGAAUAUUCUGAAACUUUGAGUUAUUACUAUUUAAAAAAUAAAAAAUAAAAAAAGGAACCGCUUUUGAAGGUUACCCCUUUUAAAACUAAAAGACCCUAAAUGGAGCACCUUGGAUCACAGCAAUCUUACCAAGCAUUCCUUCUGCUACACUGCAAAAUGUCCUCACGAGUCUGAAAUCAUUACUGGGAUGUUUUUAGACACUAGACAGCAUGGCAGUACUCUCUGUAAAUGAGAAACGUUCUAAUUAUAGCGAAGCAAUACAGGAACUGUAAUGAUGAGGACCAAACCUCGUAUGUCAGUAUCUCAGCACUGUGGCUGGGAAGGACCAAAGGAAGUUGUAACUCUGCAGACCCAAAUUAAGAUAACAGCUUCUAGAAGAAUGUGACCAGAAAUGUGAUUAAAAAUAGCACAUCCAUAACAGACAUAUUCUGAAAUGUGAUUAAAAAUAGCAUAUCCAUAACAAACAGCUCUUAAUGUUGUGAAUAAAUAUGUUCACAUCAGUUGGCAGAAUUUUUUGCUUACAUGUUGUGAAUAAAUAUGUUCACAUCAGUUGGCAGAAUUUUUUCUUUACAUGAAGACACUUGAAAAUUAUUGUGCCUAAACCAUAAGCCAUGGAAAAUGUUCCUUUGUUUAGGGCAAGAAGAGAGACACAGUAAAAUGAAGGUCAUUAUUUCUUUAGGUAUCUACUCUAGUGGUGCUGUUCCCUCUUCACAAUUUUUUCCCUGUUUGCAUUGGGGUAUUACCCUACUAUGGGCCACUCCAGUACUAUCAAAACCACGCCAGUGGCAGAUGUCCAGGAGCCUAUUCCACCUUCUCACAAAACCCACAGUCCUGACCAGUUGCUGCUCAGGACAAUCAGGCACCACACCCUCUUCCUGAGAAGGGACUGUCACCGGCCCAGGGACAGAGGUUGAAAUUAAAGUUCCAGCUAACAGAGCUUCCACAGGUACUUGAAAUGCUGCACUAAUUGUGGCUCUGUGUGUAUCUACCUCCCGGUGGCAGCUCUUUGAGCUCUGAAGGUCACGAACGCUCACAAAUAUUUAGCAGUAAUAACCCACCAGAAAUGUCAAAGCCAGGAAGUGAAAUGCUGCACCCACAAUUCUCUAUGCAUUGUAUUUCACUUUCAGCAAAGCAUAACAAAGCAAAGCAAAUAGCCUCAGAAAAGUUCAUUUAGCCAGUUAGAGAAAGAUGGGAUUUUUUUUUUUAGUAUGAUUCUGGCUUAUGUAUGUAUCCAUUUUCGCUGCCUGACCUUUUCCACAUCAACCUCUGUUGCUCAGAAAAUAGGCUGUCUUUUAUUCAUGCUGGGUUUCCACCUGACAUCAAAGAGGUUUGCAUAUGUGGAUCAAGAGAUCAAAGGUGCUGAUAAUCCCCUGAAAUCUGCUUGGUUGUGCCAUUCAAAUUAAUACACUGGUAAGACUUAGCUUUGGUAGUUAUUAUAUUAAAGAAAACAGUGAGUUUGGGAAGUUUUGCUAUCAGGGUUUGUUGUUAUUCACAGGUUUGAGACAAACUCAACUUCUAAAUAUCCCUAAUCAGCCUAACUCUCAUGUGGAUUUCUCUUCUUUAGCAAUUGGUGCUACCUUUAAUUUCUUUUCUAAAAAGUGAAAAUGCGAGCUAGGAAAAGUUUGCAGCCUGUAAACAGGCACUCUCAGUCUGUUGAGACUUGAACAGAUGCACGAUUCAUGAACUGAAACUACAUGAUAUAACAACUCAACCAUUUAUUGACUUGAUGAAGCAAAGCUUGUUACUAACAAUAGGCUAUUCAGACCAUCUCUCUUUUCUGAUAAACAGGACAAGAAACAAUUUGGAAUUCUAGUUUUUGAAAUACAGAUGAACCCAGUUUAGCUCUUGCCAUAGAUGGAAAAUAUUUUCUGGUUUAUUCUUCAGAUAAUUUUGAACUUAAAGUGGUUUUUAAAAUACUUCUGCAGCUUUUCCUAGAGAAAGAUAUUCCAGAGCUAUGGAAAAACUUGACAUUAGUUCAUAUUCUCCAUCAGCUUGCUCAUUUCAAGGUUAUAACAAAGUUCAUCCCAAAAUGAUCUCAAUAAUUAAUGGCAGUAAACAGCUGUGGUCCCAAUACAUGGAAUAGUUCACAAUGUACAUGACUCAUAAUUAAUUCAUUCAAUCCAAGUCCUUGAAUUAUCAAAUGGAAAACAAGAAGCGUGGAACAAAAUUGCUGCAAUGUUUUAAGAGAUAAUCUACUUUGAAAAGUCGCAACAUUCUGAAUAACCUCACAAUAAUUUAAGAUGGUCUGCAGCAACAACAAAAAGCAGUAAAUGGAGAUCUUGUUGCAAAUUGUGUUGCAAUCCAUGUUAGAUUCUCAGUGAUGCUGGAAAAGCAUGUAUCUUUAUAUCUGAGAAACAUGCAUAUUGAAAAGUAAAUAGUUGGAUGAAAACAAGUCCCAGCCAACACUGAUACAAAGUUUGACCUCCUGAUUUCACUAGCAAAACUGGAAAAAGUGCUGCAAUCACUGCAACAGAGAAGAGCAACGCACAAAAGGUACAGCAGUUUAAGACCUGCCAUGGAUGUAGUUUUUUAAUGCAAAGCAGACACUGAAUUUUUUUGCAUGAUUAAGAGGCAUUUGGGGAAGGACGCAGCUGCAUAAAUGAAGAAUAUUCCGCCAAAUGACUCAGGAGGUCACUGCUGCAGAAACAUGUUUUUAUUUGGGUGGGAAGACAUUAUCUAUUUGGUAAAAAUGCAUCGAGACUCUUGAUUUCCAUCUAAUUUGGCUAUAUAGACACCUCAAGCAUCUCCAAUAGGAAGGACUGGCACAUACCCAUAGAAACCGUGAUGUACUCCAGAUUGGAGAAAAUUUUAUUGGGUAAUCCCAGCACAAAUUCACUUGAAUAAAUAAGCUUUCCAAGAGAACUAUACAAAAUUUUUUAAUUUAUUGGUAGUCUAACUUAAUUACAAGCCUGUAUAUUAUCCUUAAGUGGGAACUGCUUUUGUUCUUCUUGUGGUAUUUGGUUGAUUUUUUAUGACAUAUCCAAACAGAUGUAGAAACACGAGUGUGAGUGUCAGCAUGCAUCUCUAAUCUAGUGGGUUGGGUGUCCUCUUGGAAAUCUGCUGCCUUGGGUCCUCAGUAAUGUUUCCAUGUGAAAAGAUGUCAUCAGGAGAGGAAGACUACUUUCUCCUUCCCUCUUCCCACAUUCAGUUGGCUGAGUUACUAGUCCAGGGUAUGGGAAGCUUUAACUUGGCCCCCACAUCCAACAUGAGCUAUAUGUCAAGAUCCUGGAAAACAAGUCCUGAAACCUUCGGGUAAAUUCAGCUGAGGUGAUAUGAGCAGUUCCCAUCCCAUGAGGUUUGCCCUGCAAGGCAGAAU